GGCCCCGGCCCCCGGGACCAGAGCGGGAUGAGGGGAUGCUGAUGCUGAUGCUGCUGCGCUCCGAAGGGUUAAAAGCCGCCGAGCCCCGUGCGUGGGAGUGGUCUGGGCAGUGUGGGGAGAAAUGCAGAAAAACUGGAGGGCACUGAUUGCAGGUGUAGUUCUCUUGGAUGACUCCUUGGGGGAAGAAAUACGUGGGGAACCAUGGUUUCAAUACAGUGGUGAAGACUGUGGAAAUCGUCACACUCGAUUGGCAGAGAGCAGAUCACCAGAACAGCACAGAAAUUCAUAGUUGUCUGAGUCACACUGGCUGUAGCAGAUCUGCUGUUUCUUCAGUCCCAAUUUCUUUUGUGCAUUAAAACAUCAG